rnacentral:rRNA from 1 species
AGAGUUUGAUACUGGCUCAGGAUGAACGCUGGCGGCGUGCUUAACACAUGCAAGUCGAACGGAGUUUAGAGAGCUUGCUCUUAAACUAGUGGCGGACGGGUGAGUAACGCGUGGGUAACCUGCCUUUCACUGGGGGAUAACAGUUAGAAAUGACUGUUAAUACCGCAUAAGCGCACAGGACGGCAUCGUCUAGUGUGAAAAACUCCGGUGGUGAAAGAUGGACCCGCGUCUGAUUAGCCAGUUGGCAGGGUAACGGCCUACCAAAGCGACGAUCAGUAGCCGGCCUGAGAGGGUGAACGGCCACAUUGGGACUGAGACACGGCCCAAACUCCUACGGGAGGCAGCAGUGGGGAAUAUUGCACAAUGGGGGAAACCCUGAUGCAGCGACGCCGCGUGAGUGAAGAAGUAUUUCGGUAUGUAAAGCUCUAUCAGCAGGGAAGAAAAUGACGGUACCUGACUAAGAAGCCCCGGCUAACUACGUGCCAGCCGCCGC